CAGAUUCAUUGUUUGACGAGCGAGAAGAACGGAGAUAACGAAGAAAUGGAGGUUCUGAAUGAAGAAGAAGAGUACAAUUGGAGAGAAGUGACUCUUCCAUCUUUGAUCCCAGUGGUUCCUAAACCAGAGCUCGAGAGAGAGAGUGGAGAGAGGAGGAGAGGCAGAGACAUACUCAUAGCUAUCGAUCAUGGACCCAACAGCAAACACGCCUUUGAUUGGGCCUUGAUCCAUCUCUGCAGGCUAGCUGAUACUAUCCAUCUUGUCCAUGCUGUUUCCAGCGUGAAAAAUGAUGUUGUUUAUGAGAUGGCCCAAGGGCUUAUGGAGAAGCUUGCUGUGGAGGCUUUCCAGGUUGUUAUGGUGAAGAGUGUGGCUCGGAUUGUGGAAGGGGAUGCAGGUAAGG
rnacentral:misc_RNA from 1 species